GACAGAGGAUGCAAGCGUUAUCCGGAAUGAUUGGGCGUAAAGCGUCUGUAGGUGGCUUUUUAAGUCUGCCGUCAAAUCCCAGGGCUUAACCCUGGACAGGCGGUGGAAACUACCAAGCUGGAGUACGGAAGAGGCGAGUGGAAUUCCCGGUGUAGCGGUGAAAUGCGCAGAUAUCGGGAGGAACACCUAUGGCGAAGGCAGCUCGCUGGGACGUUACUGACGCUGAGACGCGAAAGCGUGGGGAGCAAACAGG
rnacentral:rRNA from 1 species